rnacentral:misc_RNA from 1 species
AAAAUAAUCCUACCCUUUGUGAAUUUUGUUUGUUUGAAUAAUUUUUUUUUUUUAAAAAAUUAUUGGAGUCUUUCCCUUUAGAGUUUGCUUUUGAGUUUGUAAAAGAAUUCGAAAACAUCUAAAGGGGAUGGUCAAUAAUUUUUUUUUGAAAAAAGACAUUUUUUAAAAUUAAACUUUUUGUAUUCAUUUGUCUAAAAAUUAUUUUUAUAAUAUAAAAACAACUUUUGACAAUGGAUCUCUUGGUUCUCGCAACGAUGAAGAACGCAGCAAAAUGCGAUAAGUAGUGUGAAUUGCAGAAUACGUGAAUCAUCGAAUCUUUGAACGCAUAUUGCACUUUUUUAGUUUACUAAAAAGUAUGUCUGUUUGAGUAUCAGUAAAAUAUUCUCAUAAAAAUCAUUGUGUAUUUUUAUGGUUAUGAGUGUUUUACAACGAUACAAGUUGUUUCACUUUAAAUUUUUUUUUAAUAUUGAAAUUUUUCUAAUUUUAAUAAUUAAAAUUGGAUAAAAUUUUCCCGUCAAAAGGAAUAACCUAAACAAUUUUAAAUGAUUAAUUUUAGCAAAAUUUUCGAAAAAAAGGAAAAUUUUUAUUAAAAUAACUUGAUCUCAAAUCAGAUAAGAGUACCCGCUGAACUUAAGCAUAUCAAUAAGCGGAGGAAAAGAAACUAACAAGGAUUCCCUUAGUAACGGCGAGUGAAGCGGGAAGAGCUCAAAUUUGAAAUCUUCAAGGUUUUACCUUGACGAAUUGUAGUUUAUAGAAGUGUUUUCUGCUGAAGUUUUGGUAAAAGUUCUUUGGAAUAGGACAUCAUAGAGGGUGAGAAUCCCGUAUUUGACCAUUAUUUUCAGCUUUGUGAUACACUUUCAAAGAGUCGGAUUGUUUGGAAUGCAGUCCAAAAUGGGUGGUAAAUUUCAUCUAAAGCUAAAUAUUGGCGAGAGACCGAUAGCGAACAAGUACCGUGAGGGAAAGAUGAAAAGAACUUUGAAAAGAGAGUUAAACAGUACGUGAAAUUGUCAAAAGGGAAGCGUUUGACACCAGUGUUGUUUUCUCGAAAAUCAAUUAAAAAUGGCUCGAUUUUGUAUUGCUGAGACCUUAAAAGCUCACUGUACAUUUUUCGUGUCUUUUUUGAUGCACUUUUCGUUUAACAAGUCAACAUCAGUUUCUUUUGUUGUAAAAGGGUCAUUGGAAGGUGGCUUUCUUUCGGAGAAAGUGUUUAUAGCCUUUGGCCUCUGCAAUCGGAGAGACUGAGGUCUGCAGCGUAGACUCUUCGGGGUUAGAUACAUUUGUGCUAAGUUAUAGCUUUUUAUAGACAACUUGUUGACUAUAAUUAGUCUUGUAGCUUACUCGCUUAUGCUAUUU